rnacentral:rRNA from 1 species
AUUGAACGCUGGCGGCAGGCCUAACACAUGCAAGUCGAACGAGUGGCGGACGGGUGAGUAAUGUCUGGUAAACUGCCUGAUGGAGGGGGAUAACUACUGGAAACGGUAGAUAAUACCGCAUACCAUCAGAUGUGCCCAUAUGGGAUUAGCUUGUUGGUGGGGUAACGGCUCACCAAGGCGACGAUCCCUAGCUGGUCUGAGAGGAUGACCCGCCCCCUGGGAACUGAGACACGGUCCAGACUCCUACGGGAGGCAGCAUUGGGGAAUAUUGGACAAUGGGCGCAAGCCUGAUGCAGCCAUGCCGCGUGUAUGAAGAAGGCCUUCGGGUUGUAAAGUACUUUCAGCGGGGAGGCGUUACCCGCAGAAGAAGCACCGGCUAACUCCGUGCCAGCCGCCGCGGUAAUUC